UCCCGGGUGGCUUAGAUGGUAAAGAAUCCGCCUGCAAUGCAGGAGGCCCAGGUUUGAUCCCCGGGCCGGGAA
rnacentral:tRNA from 1 species